AAGUCGUAACAAGGUCUCCGUUGGUGAACCAGCGGAGGGAUCAUUACCGAGUUUACAACUCCCAAACCCCUGUGAACAUACCUUAAUGUUGCCUCGGCGGAUCAGCCCGCGCCCCGGAAAACGGGACGGCCCGCCAGAGGACCCAAACUCUAAUGUUUCUUAUUGUAACUUCUGAGUAAAGCAAACAAAUAAAUCAAAA
rnacentral:misc_RNA from 1 species